CAGUUCUCCGCUCGCUCCCAUUCCGGCACUCCCACGGCAGCUCGCGUGAGUGAUGGCCGCCGGAGACGAGGCUGGGAGCGACUCCGGCAGCGACGGCGCGGGGCCUGGCCAGGCGCCCUCGAGGAGACGACUCAAGAUCUGAAAGGAAAAAUAUUGUUUGCUGCAGCCAAUACAACCUUGGUGCCGAGCCCCGACUGAGCACAUUGAUGCGAUCUCCUCUUGUGACGAUGACGAUCUGACAACCAAAGAGAGGCAUUAGGAGGAAUCGGGGAUCACUCGCUGCGCAACCAUGCGACAGGCACCUGCAAAUGUUGUUGCAUACUAGCUGUGUCACAUGAGAAAAACUGAUGACAAGAUUCGGACUGAAUUCCUUUGAGGCAGGCAGCGUUCAAGACAAGAACCACAUUAAACUUCCAAGUAACAAAGAGAGGCAAGAAACAGAUGGUGACACCUUGGAGGAAAUGACCGCAAUCACCGCAAAACCAGACCUUCUCACUACUGAUGCAAAGAAGAGGGAGAGUGAAACGCUGGGUCUUCUUGGCAUGCUUGUCAACCUUUGCACCAGAACCUCUGAAUAGUGUGAAGAACCAUUCGGCGCAAACUAUCGAUUUUAUUGCACGGAAGGAAUUCAUGUACAGUACUUGAUUUGGUCCUGAAUUUAAACUUGAGUCUACAUCGAAGGGUGUCAAAUGGGUAGCCGCAUCCUACGGCAGAAAAUUCCCUACAAAGCAAACAACAAAAGGAAAAAGUGUGUCAAAUUAUA